ensembl:miRNA
AUCACUCGGGGAUCUUGCAAAAAUGUAAGUUCUGAUUCAGUAGAAAGGGAUGGAGCCUGAGAUUCUGCAUUUCUAACAAGUCCCCAGGUGAUGUCAAU